rnacentral:rRNA from 1 species
UACGGGGGGGGUAAGCGUUGUUCGGAAUUACUGGGCGUAAAGGGCUCGUAGGCGGCCAACUAAGUCGGAUGUGAAAUCCCCAGGCUUAACCUGGGAACUGCAUCCGAUACUGGAUGGCUUGAAUCCGGGAGAGGGAUGCAGAAUUCCAGGUGUAGCGGUGAAAUGCGUAGAUAUCUGGAGGAAUACCGGUGGCGAAGGCGGCAUCCUGGACCGGCAUUGACGCUGAUGAGCGAAAGCGAGGGGAGCAAACGGG